rnacentral:rRNA from 1 species
UACGGGAGGCAGCAGUGGGGAAUAUUGCACAAUGGGCGCAAGCCUGAUGCAGCCAUGCCGCGUGUAUGAAGAAGGCCUUCGGGUUGUAAAGUACUUUCAGUCGUGAGGAAGGUGUUAAGGUUAAUAACCUUAGCAAUUGACGUUAGCGACAGAAGAAGCACCGGCUAACUCCGUGCCAGCAGCCGCGGUAAUACGGAGGGUGCGAGCGUUAAUCGGAAUUACUGGGCGUAAAGGGCACGCAGGCGGUUAAUUAAGUUGGAUGUGAAAUCCCCGGGCUUAACCUGGGAAUGGCAUUCAAGACUGGUUAGCUAGAGUCUUGUAGAGGGGGUAGAAUUCCAUGUGUAGCGGUGAAAUGCGUAGAGAUGUGGAGGAAUACCGGUGGCGAAGGCGGCCCCUGGACAAAGACUGACGCUCAUGUGCGAAAGCGUGGGGAGCAAACAGGAUUAGAUA